rnacentral:rRNA from 1 species
UACGUAGGGUCCGAGCGUUGUCCGGAAUUAUUGGGCGUAAAGGGCUCGUAGGCGGUCUGUCGCGUCGGGAGUGAAAACCAGGUGCUUAACACCUGGCCUGCUUUCGAUACGGGCAGACUAGAGGUACUCAGGGGAGAAUGGAAUUCCUGGUGUAGCGGUGAAAUGCGCAGAUAUCAGGAGGAACACCGGUGGCGAAGGCGGUUCUCUGGGAGUAUCCUGACGCUGAGGAGCGAAAGUGUGGGGAGCGAAC